UAUAUAGUUAAUCUGCCCCAAAGAAGAGGAUAAUUGUUGGAAACGACUUGUAACACUCUAUAUGCCUUUAUUACAAAAGUAAGCAAGGGAAAUAUUUAUAGCUUUGGGAUGAGACUGUACGGUAUCAGUUAGUUGGUGAGGUAAUGGCUCACCAAGACAAUGACGCCUAACUGGUUUGAGAGGAUGAUCAGUCACACUGGAACUGAGACACGGUCCAGACUCCUACGGGAGGCAGCAGUGGGGAAUAUUGCACAAUGGACGAAACUCUGAUGCAGCAACGCCGCGUGGAGGAUGACGCAUUUCGGUGUGUAAACUCCUUUU
rnacentral:rRNA from 1 species